CGUAGGUGAACCUGCGGAGGGAUCAUUACCAGUGACCCCCGGCUCCGGCCGGGGAUGAUCAUAACCCUUUGCUGUCCGACUCUGUUGCCUCCGGGGCGACCCUGCCUCCGGGCGGGGGCCCCGGGUGGACACAUUCAAACUCUUGCGUAACUUUGCAGUCUGAGUAAAUUUAAUUAAUAAAUUAAAACUUUCAACAACGGAUCUCUUGGUUCUGGCAUCGAUGAAGAACGCAGCGAAAUGCGAUAAGUAAUGUGAAUUGCAGAAUUCAGUGAAUCAUCGAAUCUUUGAACGCACAUUGCGCCCCCUGGUAUUCCGGGGGGCAUGCCUGUUCGAGCGUCAUUUCACCACUCAAGCCUCGCUUGGUAUUGGGCGACGCGGUCCGCCGCGCGCCUCAAAUCGACCGGCUGGGUCUUCUGUCCCCUCAGCGUUGUGGAAACUAUUCGCUAAAGGGUGCCACGGGAGGUCACGCCGUAAAACAAGCCCACUUCUAAGGUUGACCUCGGAUCAGGUAGGGAUACCCGCUGAACUUAAGCAUAUCAAUAAGCGGAGGA
rnacentral:rRNA from 1 species